UGGACCAGUAUAGACCAGUAUAACCCAGUAUGGACCAGUAUGACCCAGUAUGGACCAGUAUGGGCUGAACUGGGCUGAAAACUUCCCCCUUUGUUUUAUUCGCCUGUAAAACAACAAGAGGAGAAACAACGCGACCCCCAAGUCCUCCAAGCGACCCCCAAGUAAGUCCUCCAAGCAACCCAUAAGUCCUCCAAGCAACCCAUAAGUCCUCCAAGACCUCUAUGAUCACCAUCGUAGUCCUCCAUGGCAUCUCUAUGGUCCUCCAAGCACUCUAUGGUCACAGCUGAGGUCCUCCAAGUUUCACUGGGGUCCUCCAAGGCCUCACUUGGGUCCUCCAACAACUCUAUGAUCAUCGAGGUCCUCCAAGGUGCCAUCAGGGUCCUCCAACAACUCUAUGAUCAUUGAGGUUCUCCAAGGCCUCACUUGGGUCCUCCAACAACUCUAUGAUCGUUGAGGUCCGCCAAGGUGCCACUUGGGUCCUCCAACAACUCUAUGAUCACCAUCGAGGUCCUCCAAGGCAUCUCUAUGGUCCUCCAAGGCAUCACUUGGGUGCUCCAACAACUCUAUGAUCAUCGAGGUCCUCCAAGGUGCCACUUGGGUCCUCCAACAACUCUAUGAUCAUCGAGGUCCUCCAAGGUGCCAUCGGGGUCCUCCAACAACUCUAUGGUCACCAUCGCGGUCCUCCAAGGCCUCACUUGGGUCCUCCAACAACUCUAUGGUUACCAUCGAGGUCCUCCAAGGCAUCUCUAUGGUCCUCCAAGGCCUCACUUGGGUCCUCCAACAACUCUAUGAUCAUCGAGGUCCUCCAAGGCAUCACCGGGGUCCUCCAACAACUCUAUGAUCAUCGAGGUCCUCCAAGGCCUCACUUGGGUCCUCCAACAACUCUAUGAUCCCCAUCAAGGUCCUCCAAGGCAUCUCUAUGGUCCUCCAAGGUGUCGCUGGGGUCCUCCAACAACUCUAUGAUCACCAUCGAGGUCCUCCAAGGCAUCUCCAUGGUCCUCCAAGGCCUCACUUGUGUCCUCCAACAACUCUAUGAUCAUUGAGGUCCUCCAAGGUGUAGCUGGGGUCCUCCAACAACUCUAUGAUCAGCAUCGAGGUCCUCCAAGGCCUCACUUGGGUCCUCCAACAACUCUAUGAUCACCAUCGAGGUCCUCCAAGGCAUCUCUAUGGUCCUCCAAGGUGUCGCUGGGGUCCUCCAACAACUCUGUGAUCAUCGAGGUCCUCCAAGGUGUCGCUGGGGUCCUCCAACAACUGUAUGGUCACCAUCGCUGUCCUCCAAGGCCUCACUUGGGUCCUCCAACAACUCUAUGGUCACCAUCAAGGUCCUCCAAGGCAUCUCUAUGGUCCUCCAAGGCAUCUCUAUGGUCCUCCAAGGCAUCACUUGGGUGCUCCAACAACUCUAUGAUCAUCGAGGUCCUCCAAGGUGCCACUUGGGUCCUCCAACAACUCUAUGAUCAUCGAGGUCCUCCAAGGUGCCAUCGGGGUCCUCCAACAACUCUAUGGUCACCAUCGCGGUCCUCCAAGGCCUCACUUGGGUCCUCCAACAACUCUAUGGUUACCAUCGAGGUCCUCCAAGGCAUCUCUAUGGUCCUCCAAGGCCUCACUUGGGUCCUCCAACAACUCUAUGAUCAUCGAGGUCCUCCAAGGCAUCACCGGGGUCCUCCAACAACUCUAUGAUCAUCGAGGUCCUCCAAGGCCUCACUUGGGUCCUCCAACAACUCUAUGAUCCCCAUCAAGGUCCUCCAAGGCAUCUCUAUGGUCCUCCAAGGUGUCGCUGGGGUCCUCCAACAACUCUAUGAUCACCAUCGAGGUCCUCCAAGGCAUCUCCAUGGUCCUCCAAGGCCUCACUUGUGUCCUCCAACAACUCUAUGAUCAUUGAGGUCCUCCAAGGUGUAGCUGGGGUCCUCCAACAACUCUAUGAUCAGCAUCGAGGUCCUCCAAGGCCUCACUUGGGUCCUCCAACAACUCUAUGAUCACCAUCGAGGUCCUCCAAGGCAUCUCUAUGGUCCUCCAAGGUGUCGCUGGGGUCCUCCAACAACUCUGUGAUCAUCGAGGUCCUCCAAGGUGUCGCUGGGGUCCUCCAACAACUGUAUGGUCACCAUCGCUGUCCUCCAAGGCCUCACUUGGGUCCUCCAACAACUCUAUGGUCACCAUCAAGGUCCUCCAAGGUGCCAUCGGGGUCCUCCAUCAACUCUAUGAUCACCAUCAAUGUCCUCCAAGGCAUCUCUAUGGUCCUCCAAGGCAUCUCUAUGGUCCUCCAAGAACUCUAUGAUCCUUACGGUCCUCCAAGGCUUCACUUGGGUCCUCCAACAACUCUAUGAUCAAUGGGGAGGACCAUUGGGGAGGGAGAUGGGGACAUAGGGACCAAUGGGGUGGGGGACGGGAACAUACAGACCAAUGGGGUUGGAGAUGGGGAUAUAGGGACCAAUGGGGUGGGGAGAUGGUGUGGGGAUCCCCAAGCAGCCAAUCAGGAGGCCACGUAUGUCUCUGGGAUGGGGAAUAGGGACCAAUGGGGGGCGAGCUGAUCACGGAGGGGCCCAAUAGGAGCCAAUAGGGGCCCAAUAGGAACCAAUAGGGACCCAAUAGGGUUGGGAGGACCCAAUAGGAACCAAUAGGGGCCCAAUAGAACCCAGUAGGGGCCCAAUAGAAGCCAAGAGGGGAUGGGAGGAGCCAAUAGGAGCCCAAUAGAAGUCAGUAGGGACACAAUAGGAACCAAUAGGGGCCCAAUAGAGGCCAAUAGGGUUGGGAGGACCCAAUAGGAGCCAAUAGAAGCUAAUAGGGGAUGGGAGGACCCAAUAGGAGCCAAUAGAAGCCAAUAGGGGAUGGGAGGAUCCAAUAGGAGCCAAUACAAGCCAAUAGGGGAUGGGAGGAGCCAAUAGGAGCCCAAUAGAACCCAGUAGAGGUCCAAUAGGAACCAAUAGGGGCCCAAUAGGAACCAAUAGGGGCCCAAUAGGAGCCAGUAGGGACCCAAUAGAGGCCAAUAGGGAUGGGAGGAGCCAAUAGGAGCCCAAUAGAACCCAGUAGGGGCCCAAUAGGAGCCAAUAGGGGCCCAAUAGAGGCCAAUAGGGGAUGGGAGCACCCCAAUAGAAGCCAAUAGGGGAUGGGAGGACACAAUAGAAGCCAAUAAGGGCCCAAUAGAGGCUAUAGGGUUGGGAGGACCCAAUAGACGUCAAGUUGAUUAUGUUGAGAACCAAUAGGAGCCAUAGGGAUGGGAGGACCCCAAUAGGGAUGGGAGGACCCCAAUAGAAGCCAAUAGGGGAUGGGAGGACCCUAUAGACGUCGAGUUGAUCACGUUGGGGCCCAAUAGGAGUCAAUAGAAGCCAAUAGGAACCCCAUAGAGGCUAUAGGGUUGGGAGGACCCAAAAGGAGCCCCAUAGAAGCCAUUAGGGACCCAAUAGAACCCAAUAAGGGGCCCUAUAGAAGCCAUAGGGGAUGGGAGGACCCCAAUAGGGAUGGGAGGACCCCAAUAGAAGCCAAUAGGGGAUGAGAGGACCCAAUAGACGUUGAGUUGAUCACACUGGGGCCCAAUAGGAGUCAAUAGAAGCCAAUAGGAACCCCAUAGAGGCUAUAGGGUUGGGAGGACCUAAAAGGAGACCGAUAGAACCCAGUAGGGACCCAAUAGGAACCAAUAGGGGCCCAAUAGAAGGCACAGGGGAUGGGAGGACCCUAUAGAUGUCGAGAUGAUCAUGUUGGGGCCCAAUAGAAGCCAGUAGAGACCCAAUAGAAGCCAUAGGGGAUGGGAGGACCCUAUAGACGUCGUGUUGAUCAUGUUGGGACCCAAUAGGACACAGUAGGGGCCCAAUAGAAGCCAAUAGGGUUAGGAGGACCC